rnacentral:rRNA from 1 species
UGGGGAAUCUUGGACAAUGGGGGCAACCCUGAUCCAGCCAUGCCGCGUGAGCGAAGAAGGCCUUAGGGUUGUAAAGCUCUUUCAGCUGGGGAAGAUAAUGACGGUACCCAGUAAAGAAGUCCCGGCUAACUCCGUGCCAGCAGCCGCGGUAAUACGGAGGGGACUAGCGUUGUUCGGAAUUACUGGGCGUAAAGCGCGCGUAGGCGGACUAUUAAGUCAGGGGUGAAAUCCCGGGGCUCAACCCCGGAACUGCCUUUGAUACUGGUAGUCUUGAGUUCGAGAGAGGUGAGUGGAAUUCCGAGUGUAGAGGUGAAAUUCGUAGAUAUUCGGAGGAACACCAGUGGCGAAGGCGGCUCACUGGCUCGAUACUGACGCUGAGGUGCGAAAGUGUGGGGAGCAAACAGG